GCAUGGGCAGGAAUUUACUUUUCACCUGUGUGUCUGUCUGUCCCUUCUGAUAGAGAAAGGUAGCUGAAUCAGGCACUUCAGAGUUGAGAGCUUGGCCUGACCGGCUGGUCCUGGCUCCUAUCCUGGGGCCUGGCAGCCAGGCAUCCCGUGUUGUGGGGUCCUCACCAGCUUCAGUAGUAUGAGGACACUGCCGUGGUGUCCCAGGAGGGUUGGCAGCAUGCCAGGCCUGGUACACAGUGCACCCUCAGGAAAGGACCAGUGGAUGGGCUGUGGGCUGCCGCUGGAGGGGAGGGAGCUCAGUGGCUGCCCUCAGUGUUUGGCUUCCUGCCUGGUAAGCAGGCUGGGAGGGCCUGUGGGAGAUGGUGCACCUGGAGGGAGCAGUUCUGUGGCAAAGGCCGCAUUGAUGGUCCAUCAUGUCACCACCCCUGCCCUUCAUGGGUGCUCCCCAUCAAAUCCCCAAAAUCCAGCACCAGGAUGUCAGUACUGGCAGGGCUCUGCCUUGGGCUCCUUCUCCACCCAUCUCUGUGACAUCUCAGGGAAACAUCUCUUGCUCCAUCUUUUGUGGUCUAAACCUGGUCUGUCCCCGUGGCCAGGGAGAGCCUGGGGACUCUAGGAGCCUGUGCUGCUGUCCCCAUCCACUGCCCCAUUGGUCCCCCAGGGACCAGCUUCCAGCGGGUGAUCCCAGAAGAUGGGGUGGCAGUGCAGGCUCCGGGGCAGGUGCGGCGGCUCAUCUUCUGCACAGGAAAGGUGUACUAUGACCUGGUGAAGGAGCGCAGCAGCCAGGGCCUGGAGGGGCAGGUGGCCCUCACGCGCCUAGAGCAGAUCUCCCCAUUCCCCUUUGACCUGAUCGCGCAGGAGGCAGAGCGGUUCCCAAGUGCCGAGCUGGUGUGGUGUCAGGAGGAGCACAAGAACAUGGGCUACUACGGCCUACAUCAGCCCUCGCUUCAUGACCAUCCUCGGCCGCACCCGGCCCAUAUGGUACGUUGGCCGAGAGCCUGCUGCCGCACCAGCCACAGGCAACAGAAAUGCUCACCUGGUGUCGCUGAGGAAGUUUCUGGACACUGCCUUUGAUCUCCGGGCCUUCGAGGGUAAGAUGUUUUAGAGUGGGCAAGGCUGGCCUGGAUCUUGAGCUGGGGCCUCAGGAGGCUGGGAGGGUGAGCUGCUGGGCCCCAGGACGCGUUGCCUAUCAGGCUGGCUUUGGCCUGCAUGUCUGUGUCACUGUGGGAUUGAGACAUCGGAUGGGAGUGCAGUUCCUGUGUACCCUAGCACCUGGCCCCUCCUAGACGUGUGUCUUCUGCAUCUAUGGGGUUCGUGGCCACCCAGAGCCCUGUCGUUACCCCCCCCAGUCCUGUCCAGCCUGACUGCUGCUCGCCCCAUCAUGUGCACGUGUAGAUCCAGAGGGAAGCCAUCCUGAGCUCUUAGAAGUAGGGCUUUUAGAAGCGACCCAUAGUGCGACUGCUGUGCCGUUCAUGGGGCACGUUGGCUCACAGGUACCAAAGUGGAAACCAGAUGCAGAGAAAUAAAAACAAUGCUGAGA
rnacentral:lncRNA from 1 species